GUGCAGUAGGUAAGACUUGUAAAACUGUCUAUUAUAUUUGCUGAAACUGACCCCAUAUGCGAGUAAAACUACAUGAAGCCGGUAAUUAGAAAAAAAAUCCAGCUCCUCUGACCCCACCUACAGCCUGUAUUGUGAUUUGCAAAAAUCCACAGCUCCCUCAGAUGCACCAAUCAGGGCCAGUGGGGGGGGGCGGGGUCUAACUGUUCAGAUCCUCCAAUCAGGGCCAGGGGGGGUGUCUAACUGCAUGUCAAUCACUGCUCAGGCACCUGAUUCAUUCUCCCUCGUGGGGGGGGGAGGGGCUUAGAAGACCAUUUGGGCUUUAACAGAAAGGGGGGGGGGGGGGGGGGACUGAGAAGUUGUCGAUGUUUAAAUUCUUUGGCUAAUUCCUGGAUCGUCACAAUCCUCCCUACAGCCCCUUUAAGU